ACUCCUACGGGAGGCAGCAGUGGGGAAUAUUGCACAAUGGGGGAAACCCUGAUGCAGCCAUGCCGCGUGUGUGAUAGCAGCUUCGGGUUGUAAAGCACUUUCAGUAGGGAGGAAGGUAGUGUAGUUAACACCUGCAUUAUUUGACGUUACCUACAGAAGAAGCACCGGCUAACUCCGUGCCAGCAGCCGCGGUAAUACGGAGGGUGCGAGCGUUAAUCGGAAUUACUGGGCGUAAAGCGCAUGCAGGCGGCCUGUUAAGUCAGAUGUGAAAGCCCGGGGCUUAACCUCGGAAUUGCAUUUGAAACUGGCAGGCUAGAGUCUUGUAGAGGGGGGUAGAAUUUCAGGUGUAGCGGUGAAAUGCGUAGAGAUCUGAAGGAAUACCAGUGGCGAAGGCGGCCCCCUGGACAAAGACUGACGCUCAGAUGCGAAAGCGUGGGGAGCAAACAGGAUUAGAUACCCUGGUAGGAUAG
rnacentral:rRNA from 1 species